rnacentral:rRNA from 1 species
UACGUAGGGUGCAAGCGUUGCCCGGAUUCAUUGGGCGUAAAGCGCGCGCAGGCGGCCUUCCAAGUCCCGCGUGAAAUCGCCCGGCUCAACCGGGCGGGGUCGCGGGAGACUGGGGGGCUCGAGCGAGGGAGGGGGCAGUGGAAUUCCCGGUGUAGUGGUGGAAUGCGUAGAUAUCGGGAGGAACACCAGUGGCGAAGGCGGCUAUCUGGACAAGUACUGACGCUGAGGCGCGAAAGCGUGGGGAUCAAACAGG